CAUAAGAAGGUAAGAAGGCUGCAGCUUCCACCGGGCCUCUUGGGCUGUGUACUCUUGACACUCUUGCUCUGAGAACUAAGCAGGCAUAUUUCAUAUCAAAAUAGUAAAGAACUUCCUUUCCAAAGGCAGGACUUGCUUCUGUGAGGUACUGAGCCACCCGUCCCUGGAGGAAAGCAAGAACAGAGCAGAUCAGAGCCCAGGCAGACAUCUUGGAUGAUGGGUGAGAUCUUCCUGGGGUUCUUGCUGUACCUGCUGACAAGGGGCAGCUCUCUCUAAAUGCCACGGAGCUGGAAGGCUGCAGCCUGGAACUUGCUGCAGCCCACCCAGGGUACAUCUUGCCAUCCAGAGGCAAUGCUGGAGCGGGCAGUUGUCUGCGGGGAGGCCCUGGCUCACUCUGGGCCAAAUAACAGGACUGAUUGCAGCCUGCGAUGAAACAUCCUGUUUCUCCCAACCAGAAACAGGUAGAGGAGAGAAGAGCCCCAGUGAGAGAGUGAAGCAGAUGAAAAGAUAACAUGAAAACCAACCAAGCAACGAACAGACAAACAAAAUAACCCAUUUCAAGUUCUCGGAGCCUGGUCUCAUUUCCAGCCGGAAAUUACUGCUGCAGACUGCAGGGUGCUCCCUGCACUCCCUGUGUAUAUGAUCUAGUGGUUGCUAAUGUGGAGCUGCUUUAGGAUGGAAGAUGAGGCUUGCUUUUUCUUUCUCCUAGAAGUCAGCAUUUUACAUGAUUCUGGGAGGGAAGAAAGGAGACAGGAACCAAGGAGCCUGAGUGGGGAUUUGCCCACCACUGGGCAGCCAGGCUCCCGUCAGGAAGGCUUUUCAGAGGGAGUGUUGGAAGGAGUCGUCGAGGAGUCUUCCUCACCCAGGAAGUCUUCCUCACCGGGUGAGCCCCAACCUGCUGGACCUGCUCAGAAUUUGCCCAACAGGGGAUCCUGGUUGACUGAGGUCUGCUAAUUCCAACUGGCCUACGCUAAAUUCUCCCAGAAUGUCUUCAUCAUCAAUGAAUCGCUUUCCACUGACACGACGCCUGGAAGAACAUAAACACUGUGAGGAUAAAUGCCAAUGAAAUAAUAAUAAAAUAAACUUUCUUUGGUGGCCAGAGG
rnacentral:lncRNA from 1 species